rnacentral:rRNA from 1 species
GGUUAAGUUAGAAAGGGCGCACGGUGGAUGCCUUGACACUAGGAGUCGAUGAAGGACGGGACUAACGCCGAUAUGCUUCGGGGAGCUGUAAGUAAGCUUUGAUCCGAAGAUUUCCGAAUGGGGAAACCCACCAUACGUAAUGGUAUGGUAUCCUUAUCUGAAUACAUAGGGUAAGGAAGACAGACCCAGGGAACUGAAACAUCUAAGUACCUGGAGGAAGAGAAAGCAAAUGCGAUUUCCUGAGUAGCGGCGAGCGAAACGGAACAUAGCCCAAACCAAGAGGCUUGCCUCUUGGGGUUGUAGGACAUUCUAUACGGAGUUACAAAGGAACGAGGUAGACGAAGCGACCUGGAAAGGUCCGUCGUAGAGGGUAACAACCCCGUAGUCGAAACUUCGUUCUCUCUUGAAUGUAUCCUGAGUACGGCGGAACACGUGAAAUUCCGUCGGAAUCUGGGAGGACCAUCUCCCAAGGCUAAAUACUCCCUAGUGAUCGAUAGUGAACCAGUACCGUGAGGGAAAGGUGAAAAGCACCCCGGAAGGGGAGUGAAAGAGAUCCUGAAACCGUGUGCCUACAAAUAGUCAGAGCCCGUUAACGGGUGAUGGCGUGCCUUUUGUAGAAUGAACCGGCGAGUUACGAUCCCGUGCGAGGUUAAGCUGAAGAGGCGGAGCCGCAGCGAAAGCGAGUCUGAAUAGGGCGUUUAGUACGUGGUCGUAGACCCGAAACCAGGUGAUCUACCCAUGUCCAGGGUGAAGUUCAGGUAACACUGAAUGGAGGCCCGAACCCACGCACGUUGAAAAGUGCGGGGAUGAGGUGUGGGUAGCGGAGAAAUUCCAAUCGAACCUGGAGAUAGCUGGUUCUCCCCGAAAUAGCUUUAGGGCUAGCCUUAAGUGUAAGAGUCUUGGAGGUAGAGCACUGAUUGGACUAGGGGUCCUCAUCGGAUUACCGAAUUCAGUCAAACUCCGAAUGCCAAUGACUUAUCCUUAGGAGUCAGACUGCGAGUGAUAAGAUCCGUAGUCAAAAGGGAAACAGCCCAGACCGCCAGCUAAGGUCCCAAAGUGUGUAUUAAGUGGAAAAGGAUGUGGAGUUGCUUAGACAACUAGGAUGUUGGCUUAGAAGCAGCCACCAUUUAAAGAGUGCGUAAUAGCUCACUAGUCGAGUGACUCUGCGCCGAAAAUGUACCGGGGCUAAAUACACCACCGAAGCUGCGGAUUGAUACCGAAUGGUAUCAGUGGUAGGGGAGCGUUCUAAGGACAGUGAAGUCAGACCGGAAGGACUGGUGGAGUGCUUAGAAGUGAGAAUGCCGGUAUGAGUAGCGAAAGACGGGUGAGAAUCCCGUCCACCGAAUGCCUAAGGUUUCCUGAGGAAGGCUCGUCCGCUCAGGGUUAGUCAGGACCUAAGCCGAGGCCGACAGGCGUAGGCGAUGGACAACAGGUUGAUAUUCCUGUACCACCUCUUUAUCGUUUGAGCAAUGGAGGGACGCAGAAGGAUAGAAGAAGCGUGCGAUUGGUUGUGCACGUCCAAGCAGUUAGGCUGAUAAGUAGGCAAAUCCGCUUAUCGUAAAGGCUGAGCUGUGAUGGGGAAGCUCCUUAUGGAGCGAAGUCUUUGAUUCCCCGCUGCCAAGAAAAGCUUCUAGCGAGAUAAAAGGUGCCUGUACCGCAAACCGACACAGGUAGGCGAGGAGAGAAUCCUAAGGUGUGCGAGAGAACUCUGGUUAAGGAACUCGGCAAAAUGACCCCGUAACUUCGGGAGAAGGGGUGCUUUCUUAACGGAAAGCCGCAGUGAAUAGGCCCAAGCGACUGUUUAGCAAAAACACAGCUCUCUGCGAAGCCGUAAGGCGAAGUAUAGGGGGUGACACCUGCCCGGUGCUGGAAGGUUAAGGAGAGGGGUUAGCGUAAGCGAAGCUCUGAACUGAAGCCCCAGUAAACGGCGGCCGUAACUAUAACGGUCCUAAGGUAGCGAAAUUCCUUGUCGGGUAAGUUCCGACCCGCACGAAAGGUGUAACGAUUUGGGCACUGUCUCAACCAGAGACUCGGUGAAAUUAUAGUACCUGUGAAGAUGCAGGUUACCCGCGACAGGACGGAAAGACCCCGUGGAGCUUUACUGUAGCCUGAU